UACAACUAUCUGGGGUGCCUUAUUGGCUGAGAAAAACCCAUCGAACCUGAUCUGGACAAUUCCAGCGAAGGGAGCAUGCUCCGUUGUAUU
rfam:Lactobacillus buchneri CD034, complete genome.